CCCUUAGAUGUUCUGGGCUGCACGCGUGCCACACUGAUUACUUCAACAAGUGUUUUAACUGGAGAGUUCGCGUAAUCCUGAAAUGUUAUCGUGAUGGGAGUAGAGUAUUGUAUUUGUUAAUCUUUAACGAGGAAUUCCUAGUAAGUGUAGGUUUAUAAGUUGUUCUGAUUACGUCCCUGCCCUUUGUACACACCGCCCGUCGCUCCUACCGAUUGGAUGGUCCGGUGAAGCCUCGGGAUUGUGGUUCUUGCCGCUUUAUUGUGGAGUGACCGCGAGAACUUGUCUAAACCUUAUCAUCUAGAGGAAGGUGAAGUCGUAACA
rnacentral:rRNA from 1 species